rnacentral:lncRNA from 1 species
AAAAAUGUUUUUGAUUGUUGGUGAUUUUAGCUAGUUUUCUUCUUUUCUAGGAAUAAUUACCAGUGAGAGGCUGAAUUAACAAGAAUUUCUGGACCCCUGAGUUCUCUUCCCCUAACACAGGGGCAUGAGGAGGCACUCGGCUGCCCUUCCGCACGCGCAGCAGCAGGUGGCGCCAAAGGAACGGUGUUAGAGAUGAGCCAACCCUCAGUUCAGGUUGUGGCUGGAUUAUCUCAAGACUGGACAGGUACUGGCCAGCAGGCGAGGAGCAGAUCGCUUAGCCCCCCAUUCGACAGAUGGAGACACUGAAACCAAGAUAAGGGGAAUAAGUGACUUAAGUGCCCCGAAUCUCACAGUGACUUGCCCAAAUCACAGAAGGAGUUAGUGGCAGACUUUUUCCUAAGCCACUUACUUCUGCAGCCUAGUCUCAAUUGUUUUUCUUCCCUCGACCAUUCAUUUCCCUACCCAAUUAACUAACUAAACACGCUUUCUCCCUC